rnacentral:rRNA from 1 species
GACGAACGCUGGCGGCGUGCAUAAUACAUGCAAGUCGAACGCAGUGGGGACGGGUGAGUAACACGUGGGUAACCUCCCAUCAGAGGGGAUAACACUUGGAAACAGGUGCUAAACCGAUACAGAUGGAUGGACCCGUGGUGCAUUAGCUAGUUGGGGAGAGAAAGGCUCAAAAAGGCCACGAUGCAUAGUCGCCCUGAUAGGGGGAUCGUCCACAAUUGGACGGAGACACGGCCAAGACUCCUACGCGAGGCAGCAGGAGGGAAUCUUCGGCAAUUGACGAAAGUCUGACCGAGCAACGCCGCGUGAGUGAAGAAGUUUUUCGGAUCGUAAAACUCUGUUGUUAGAGAAGCGGUAUCUAACCAGAACGCCACGGCUAACUACGUGCCAGCAGCCGCGGUAAUUC